UCAAGAACCCGGACUGAGUUACAGUUUAGUCCUGAGGAGUUUUUCUGGAAAUGCUGAAGGCUUAACUGCAGGUUGCACAUCAGCUAUCUCUGUAGGGGAGGGGAGGCCUUGUGCGUGUAGUUUAGCUUUCACUUGUUACCCUGUCCGUGGGUCUCUUUAGUUCUUUUUUCUCUUUUCAUUUGUGUAUUUGGAAUAUUUCAGCCAUUCUUGACAAACCUUUGCUCUCAGCCUUUAAUAUACCGCACGCAGCAAAGCUCAUUCAUCGUCCUGUCAGUCUCACUGAUUCCCUUUUAAGAUUGAAACCACAGGCCCUGCCUGGUGUAAAGCCGGGUUCAGGGGCCAAUAUUGGAACAUUCCUCCUCGAUCAAAUGACAGCACAGGGAGUGACUGAGCGUCCAGCUCUGUUUCACAGAUAGCGUGGCAAUCACUCUCAGGUUUCCCUCGAGAUCAGGUUCAAGACGGACAGCACCAACGGCAGCCGCACGCCAUCGAUCCUCAGAUUACCAGGAUCUUGAAUAUUUCAUCUGGGGACACUGUUGUUGAUGAAGCAGAAGUCAAAGAGCAGCAGCUGGCAGGCGGGACAAAGAGGAUGAAACAGGACACAUCACGUCUGGUCACUGGGGAUCAAUCCUAACAUCAAGAUGCUUGAAUCAAUAGAUGCAGGAGUCACAAAGAGUUGCGCUCUUCUGGACGGCCACAACGCGCUCAUGUAUCAGCUGGAACUCCACCAACCCAAAUAAACAACCGGCAGAGCUUCUGAGCCGGUGACACACCACUUCCUGUAGAGCCACUCCUGACGUGCCGCUUCCUGACGUGGAAGCAUCCACAUCUGUAAAUCAACAUCUGACCACAGUGGCAGCCGGCCCCACCGUUCCGUGUUGGAGAUUGUGUGGGUGUGAACUCAGUAGGGCAACAUACCAACCCCCCGCGGCCCUACACGCUGUCCUUUGCCACAGCCUGGACGCUCCCCCGCGACAUGCCCGGGUUUGCCCGCUAACAUAAUCAAAGGCAAAUCUCCCUGUGGGAGGUUGCGGCUCCUCCUGCCGCGUUGCCAUGGACCUGGAUUAGCAGCCGUGCCCGAUCAGGGCUCCCCCGCGGGCCCCAGUGGUUGUGCUUCUAAGGCGGAGGGCGCAACAUGAAUGAAUGGUGAUGGAUGAGCCUGUGAAUGAGUCGAGUUGAUAUUAUAACUAUAAUAAGCGUUGCAGAACAUUGGCUCUCUAAAUCGUUCGCUAAUGAUCCCAAUUCAUUUGAGAAAAGCUUGUUAAAACGAUGCAAUGGAUAAACCAGCAUUAAAAACAAAUGUCAAUGACCUUGACUAAAUGUACAGUAUGUAUUAUUUGAGCUUUUCUUGUAUUUAUCAUAAAAUCAUUUAUUUAUUCAUAAUAA